rnacentral:lncRNA from 1 species
CCAUCAACCUUUUUCUAAGUAAUCUUUCAGGAGAUGGAAGGCCAAAAGGCUUUCAAAGGAGUGUUCUCCUACACACACAUCCUUCCACAACCUAACAAAAGCACCAUUCUUCACAACUGCUCAAAUACCAGCAAAGAAUAUAUGCCUAGAAUUUAGAAUACCACGCCUAAAGGUUGAGUUCCGGUAGCUUAUAGUCAGUAACAAGCGAAAUGCUCAAAGCAUUGCCAC